CUAAAGAUGGACCCUGCUCGCUCAAUCUCUAGUUUUAUUACCUCUGCUUAAAAAUUACAUUCCUAUCAGCCUUCAUGGAGCCAUACAUUUGUUCUUACAACCUGCGUGACAUCUCUGCUCCAAAGAGUUCAAAUGUUGUCCCAUAUAGGCAGAACAUUUAUUGACUUUAAUUUAGGAUGCCAGGAGUGAUAGUAAACCGACAGGAAGUGGGAGAAAAACUGUUAAAAAACUCUCACAACAAUGAAAGCCAGUUUGCCACAUUAAUAUUUAUCUUAUCAGUGGUUUCCUUGCUGCUUCCCAAGGUCUCUAGUCCACUAUUAAAGUUUGCCUAUU